rnacentral:rRNA from 1 species
GAGCGAAAAUAAUUGAGAGCUUGCUUUUGAUUAUUUUAGCGGCGGACGGGUGAGUAACGUGUGGGCAACCUGCCUUUUACUGUGGAAUAAUCGUUGGAAACGACGACUAAUACCGCAUACGGUUCUUGGAAGGCAUCUUCUAAGAAAGAAAGGAGUAAUUCGGUAAAAGAUGGGCCCGCAUCUGAUUAGCUAGUUGGUGAGAUAAUAGCCCACCAAGGCAACGAUCAGUAGCCGACCUGAGAGGGUGACCGGCCACAUUGGGACUGAGACACGGCCCAAACUCCUACGGGAGGCAGCAGUGGGGAAUAUUGCACAAUGGGGGAAACCCUGAUGCAGCAACGCCGCGUGAAGGAAGACGGUUUUCGGAUUGUAAACUUCUAUCAAUAGGGAAGAAAGAAAU